UACGUAGGUGGCAAGCGUUGUUCGGAAUUACUGGGCGUAAAGGGCGUGUAGGCGGUGCGGUAAGUUGGACGUGAAAUCCCCGGGCUUAACCCGGGGCGGUCGUUCAAAACUGCCGUGCUGGAGUGAGGGAGAGGGAAGUGGAAUUCCCGGUGUAGCGGUGAAAUGCGUAGAUAUCGGGAAGAACACCUGUGGCGAAGGCGGCUUCCUGGCCCACAACUGACGCUGAGGCGCGAAAGCUAGGGGAGCAAACAGG
rnacentral:misc_RNA from 1 species